AAGCAACGCGAAGAACCUUACCAGGUCUUGACAUACCAUUGACGCCUCUAGAGAUAGAGGGUUCCCUUCGGGGACAAUGGAUACAGGUGGUGCAUGGUUGUCGUCAGCUCGUGUCGUGAGAUGUUGGGUUAAGUCCCGCAACGAGCGCAACCCCUGUCGUUAGUUGCCAGCAGUGAGAUGGGGACUCUAACGAGACUGCCAGUGACAAACUGGAGGAAGGUGGGGAUGACGUCAAAUCAUCAUGCCCCUUAUGACCUGGGCUACACACGUGCUACAAUGGUUGGUACAAAGAGAAGCGAAGCGGUGACGUGGAGCAAACCUCAUAAAGCCAAUCUCAGUUCGGAUUGUAGGCUGCAACUCGCCUACAUGAAGUUGGAAUCGCUAGUAAUCGCGAAUCAGAAUGUCGCGGUGAAUACGUUCCCGGGUCUUGUACACACCGCCCGUCACACCACGAGAGUUUACAACACCCGAAGUCAGUGGCCUAACCGCAAGGAGGGAGCUGCCUAAGGUGGGGUAGAUGAUUGGGGUGAAGUCGUAACAAGGUAAC
rnacentral:rRNA from 1 species